ensembl:snRNA U2 U2 spliceosomal RNA
ACCACUUCUCAGCUCACUGGCUAAGAUCAAGCAUAACAUCUGUUAUCAGUUUAACAUCUGAUACAUCCUCUAUCCAAAAUUAAGAUAAGGGAUAUUCAACCAGU